rnacentral:rRNA from 1 species
AUGGCCGAACAACCCGACUGGCUGAAGCUCCCGUCGGACCUCCUGGAACCCAUCGGCCGGAGGACGCGCGAUGCCGUCAUGGGAGUCGCCACCUUCCGCUCCGUCUGCUGGGCGUGGCGCGCUGCCGUGAGACCGACGCCGCGCCUCCUGCUUCCCGCCUCCCAGGACAGCGCCGCUCCUCGCGGCGGCUCGAAGUACGCGCUCGUCUUCCUCUUGUCACGUGGCUGGUCCAUCGUCGUCGAUGCCCGCGACGUCUCCUGUCACCUCAAGCACCUGCCCACGGGCGCUACGGCCGCGCUGCCCAAUGCCCCAAUCUCAACGCCGUCCGUGACAGCAGCGCCACGUCCGAGAUCACGCAUCUGGGUUACGAGCACGCUCCCGAUCAUGAAGAAGCGCCUACAGACAUGGGUGGUGGUGCGCACGAAGAUGACUGGCAUCGGGCGUUCAAGAUCAAGAUGA